GCUAAAUAUGAGUCAACACUGUAACACUGUUGCAAAAAAACAGAAUAUCAUUCUGGGAUGUAUUAGCAGGAAUGUUGUAAGCAAGACACGAGAAGUAGUUCUUCUGCUGUGCUCCGCGCUGAUACAGCCUCAACUGGAAUACUGUGUCCAGUUUUGGGCACCACACUACAAGAAG